GAGCUAAUACAUGCAUAAAAGCCCGACUUCGAGGAAGGGCUGUAUUUAUUAGAUACAGAACCAAUCCGGUUCGCCGGUUGUUGGAUGACUCAUAAUAAAUGAACGGAGCGUAUGGCAUGUGCCGACGCUGUAUUAUUCAAGUUUCUGACCUAUCAGCUUUCGAUGGUAGUGUAUUGGACUACCAUGGCAUUGACGGGUAACGGAGAAUUAGGGUUCGAUUCCGGAGAGGGAGCCCGAGAAACGGCUACCACAUCUAAGGAAGGCAGCAGGCGCGCAAAUUACCCAAUCCUGACACAGGGAGGUAGUGACAAGAAAUAACAGAGGAAGCUCUUUCUGAGUUUUCCAUUUGGAAUGAGAGGAAUUUAAACAUCUCCUCGAUAUCAAUUGGAGGGCAAGUCUGGGUGCCAGCAGCCGCGGUAAUUCCAGCUCCAAUAGCGUAUAUUAAAGUUGUUGCGGUUAAAAAGCUCGUAGUUGGAUUUCUGGUGGAGGACGGCCGGUCCCGCAUUUUGUGCGUGUAUCCGGUACGGCCUUUGCAUCCUCCUUGUGGAACGUUGCGGUGCUUGGUUUGCAUUGUUGCGGAACGCAAGACUUUACUUUGAGGAAAUUAGAGUGUUCGCGGCAGGCAAUGCGCCCUUGAAAUAUAUUAGCAUGGGAUAAUAAUAUAGGCUCCUCCGCCCUAUUUUGGUUGGGUUCAAGAAGCGAACGAGAAUGAUUAAUAAGGGAAUAAUUGGGGGCAACUCCGUACUAAGAACCGUCAAGAAGGUGGGAAUCU
rnacentral:rRNA from 1 species